UCGAGACGGGAUUGAAGAUUAUACACACGGAUUGAAGAAAUUUCAUACGGGUGUAUUCUUAUUAUCUUUUAAUUUUGUUUUUCAAUUUCUUGAUUUUGUAAUGAUGAUUAUAGGCUAGGGUUUUUGUUCAUUAGGAAUUUGAUGAACCUUUUGAUGAUUUAAAUUUCCGUUAUUUCAUUAAUUCAACAAUAGUUUCGAUUGGACAAAUGUUUGAUUUAUAUGAUUUGAAUGCUUCCAUAAUUAUUUGGCGAAUUGUUAUGUGAUUGUAGAUGAUUUGUUCUUUGC
rnacentral:lncRNA from 1 species